AAUGAGGUGUGGCUGUUGCCCAGGAAUAGUCAGGGAAGCAGAUAAUUUAGUUAGUGCCUUGGCCUAAUAAGGGAACUGGGCAGGUGGAAUAAAUAAAAAGGAGUGCUUAAAAGAGUAUGUCUAAAUCGGCACCAGAGUUGGGGAGUUUUAAGAGGCUUUGUGUGAGCAACAAGGCUGUUUAUUUCACCUGGGGGAAGGCGGGCUGAGUCCGAAAAGAGAGUC
rnacentral:lncRNA from 1 species